rnacentral:lncRNA from 1 species
UUUGCAAACGAGGAGCAGCGGAAUUGCAACUUGCAAGCACUGCCAAGAACGGGUCUGAGAAACGAUUGUAAGCACCAGAUAUCACAAUCGUAAGCCUUGAAGAGAUUACCGAGAUCUGCCGAGAUGAUUUCAAGAGCGACCCAGUGGGUGUCGCUUAAUAAAGCCAAGAUUAACCUAAGACUCACAGGUUUGAUCGAAACCUACUGAUACCAUGUCAUUCAAAUUGGCUUCUUGACUUUCUCAUUGUUAUUUCUUGAAUAUAUAGAGGUUACAAGGCUAUACAAGUAAUUACACUAAAUAAUUA